rnacentral:misc_RNA from 1 species
GAUGAAGAACGCAGCGAAAUGCGAUAAGUAAUGUGAAUUGCAGAAUUCAGUGAAUCAUCGAAUCUUUGAACGCACAUUGCGCGCGCCAGUAUUCUGGCGGGCAUGCCUGUUCGAGCGUCAUUACAACCCUCAGGCCCCCGGGCCUGGCGUUGGGGAUCGGCGGAGCCCCCCGUGGGCACACGCCGUCCCCCAAAUACAGUGGCGGUCCCGCCGCAGCUUCCAUCGCGUAGUAGCUAACACCUCGCGACUGGAGAGCGGCGCGGCCACGCCGUAAAACACCCAACUCUUCUGAAGUUGACCUCGAAUCAGGUAGGAAUACCCGCUGAACUUAAGCAUAUCAAUAAGCGGAGGA